rnacentral:misc_RNA from 1 species
GAUGAAGAACGCAGCGAAAUGCGAUAAGUAAUGUGAAUUGCAGAAUUCAGUGAAUCAUCGAAUCUUUGAACGCACAUUGCGCCCGCCAGUAUUCUGACGGGCAUGCCUGUUCGAGCGUCAUUUCAACCAUCAAGCCCCGGGCUUGUGUUGGGGACCUGCGGCUGCCGCAGGCCCUGAAAAGCAGUGGCGGGCUCGCUGUCACACCGAGCGUAGUAGCAUAUAUCUCGCUCUGGGCGUGCUGCGGGUUCCGGCCGUUAAACCACCUUUUAACCCAAGGUUGACCUCGGAUCAGGUAGGAAGACCCGCUGAACUUAAGCAUAUCAAUAAGCGGAGGA